GCGGGUGUAGUUCAAUGGUAGAACGCCAGCCUUCCAAGCUGGUCACGUGAGUUCGAUUCUCAUCACCCGCUCGA
rnacentral:tRNA from 1 species